rnacentral:tRNA from 1 species
GCGGGUGUGGUUCAACGGCAGAACGUGAGCUUCCCAAGCUCGAGACGGGGGUUCGACUCCCCUCACCCGCU